rnacentral:SRP_RNA from 11 species
AGGUCCCUGUACUCCUCCUCCCACUCCGCAGCGUGCCCCUCGAAGCCACAGAACUCCGCGUACCGGCGCAGGCUUGCGCAGGGCAGCCUGCCGCUGUCGCUGUCGUCCAGAGAGCCGAAUGC